rnacentral:lncRNA from 1 species
AAAACAUUACAACAUUUUGUAAUUUUUCUAACUUCAAGUAUUUUUUGGAGGUUUGUUGUAGAACUAUGGAAACUUGAAACAUAAAGCAAGACUAUUUAAAGGUUCAAUCUCGUCUUGUAAGAAAGAGAAACAGGUAGAGAGACAGAAAGGGGAUAUAUACUUCAUGGUCAGAGAGCUGCAGGGGCGGUUGUUAGCUGUGCAGAUGAGCAGAAGAGAGGAUAGCAGCAGCUCAACAGUGGCACCUUCAGUAGUUCUAGAGAGAAGGGAUGGCAACAGCAGUAGACCAGGCUAGUACCAGCCAAAGCAACAGAUACGUACAAUCCAGACUAGUCCUGGGCGGAAUAGGGUAGACAGGGCAGGGCCCAGUGGAGACAGCCAUGGCCAGGUUUCCCAUAGAGUUAGAGUGAGAUAAAGUGGUAACAGCAACAGGGCAGAGAGAGACUGGGCAGGAACUGCAAAGAUGGCAGCUGGAGCAGAAUGAUGUGCAUCAGGUGAGAGGAAAAGCACAAGGCCAGAGGAUCAACUGUGCAGGGUCCAUGGUGAUGGAGCACAGCAGUGGGCAGAAGUGCGGGCUGGGACCUACCCCCGUAAAGGAGACACUGGAAACCAUCGUCCAAAGAGACAAAGACACCAAUGACUAACAGAAUUUAUUGAGCUUACAAAAUCGCAGAUAAAAAGAAAAAGAAAAAAAAAAAAAGACUGGCCAAAAUGCUAAAACUCCCUCCUCUUAUGGGAUAACAAAACAGGCUACAAUUGGUUGGAAUCAAUAUGACCAACCAGAGCCUGUACAGAACCAGCCUGUGAUGUCACAGUCUGAACUACCACCACACGUUUCGUACUAACGCCCCCUGAAUUUGCACAUGCGACCCAUGAGGAGGCAUGAAGAGAUAACUGCUCAUGCCAAGACCUUUCUAGGUUUCCCCUUUCCUUCCACCGAUCACCCACUAAUCCCAGAAUCCACCCCGUAAACCUCUUCUAAUAAAACUACUCCCUUGAAGCCAGCAGAGGGAGACAGAUCUGAGCUGGACUCCUGUCUCCCUGGGAACAAUAAAAGCUUUGCUUUUCUCACAAACCUGGUGUCAUAGUCUUGGCACACUGGGCAGUGACCCUUUGGCUCCAUGACAAACAUGAUGGUCUAGGGACCCUGCUUCUCUCCUGUUCAGUCUCAGGUGACCCAAGGACUAGACCAUGCAUCCUCUUCCUUCUUACCUAUCUUCAUAUCCUCAUGAGAGAAGGGAGGGUUAUCAGCCUCUGAGGAUGCAGAUGUUGCGCUCAGCCCCAGGAUCCCCAGGAGACUGGCAAAGAAGAUCAUAGCUUUGACUGUUCAGGGUGGCCUUGGACACAAGUUGUACCCUUAAGGAAUACCCUUCUCUGACCAGUAUGGUGGUUCAUGCCUAUAAUCACAGCACUUUGGGAGGCCAGGGAGGGAAGACUGCUUGAGCCCAGGAGUUUUGAGACCAGCCUGGGCAACAUACUGAGACCUCGUCUCUGC